rnacentral:misc_RNA from 1 species
GGAUGGAUCAUUCCUGAAUACACACACCAACCUAAGCACUCGUUGAAAUAACCUUAUACACCUUUCCUAUACAAAACAAAAACUCUCAGCGAUGGAUGACUCGACUCUCGCACCGAGGAAGGACGCAGCAAACCGCGAUAAGCAGUAUGACUUGCGAAAUUUCGUGAUUCACCAGAUUUCUGAACGCAAAGGUACUUCUAGCCUCGGCUUGGAGUAUGUUUGGCUCGGUAUCGUUUAGAUACUCAAACUUCGUUUGAAUGACAUCCAGUGUUUUAACAUCACUGGUGGAUGAUGGAGACUACUUGACACCCUAUCAGUAGACGAAAGGGCUUACAGUAGUUACAGACCGUCUAAUGAUCCGAGCUCAAGCAAGAUUACCCGCUGAAUUUAAGCAUAUAAUUAAGCGGAGGAAAAGAAACCAACUGGGAUUCCCUUAGUAGUGGCGAACGAAGUGGGAAGAGCCCGCGAUGUUAAUCCACCGCCCGGUGGAGUUGUGCAUCGGGGUCUCGGCUAUUCGGCAAGCAAGAAUAAGAUGCCUGGAAAGGCACGCCAGAGAAGGUGACAGCCCUGUUCUUGUCUUGACUUGUCCGGAGUACAGCCGGGAUCCAAUGAGUCACGCUCUUUGGGAGUAGAGCGCAAAAAGGGUGGUAACCUCCAUCCACGGCUAGAUAACGGCGAGAGAUCGAUAGCAAACAAGUACCGUGAGGGAAAGUUGAAAAGCACUUCGAAAGGAGAGUUAAAAUACCUGAAAUCGCUGAGGGGGAAGCGGCUGUCCGUGACCCAAUGCCUGAGGGCCUGCCCUCUUGCAUCACCCGACAUCACUUUGGUAUUUCUUGAGCGGUUUUGGCAAACCAGCCAGUUCCAGUCUCACGAUCUACGAGAGUGUGGUUAUCCAACGAAAGUUGUCGGGAGUGGCAUGUACAGACGACCCGUCUUGAAACACGGACCAAGGAGUUAAACGAAAGUGCGAGUGUAAGGGUAAAAAACCCAGACGCGUAGUGAAAGCAAAAGCUGUCAAUAUCCAUGCAACAGCGGCCGACUAUAAGUUCGAGCUUGAGCAUUUUCGUUUAGACCCGAAAGAUGGUGACCUAUACCUGAGUUGGGUGAAGCCAGGGGAAACUCUGGUGGAAGCUCGUAGCGAUACUGACGUGCAAAUCGUUCGUCAAACUUGGGCAUAGGGGCGAAAGACUAAUCGAACCAUCUAGUAGCUGGUUCCCUC